GCAUAUCAAUAAGCGGAGGAAAAGAAACUAACAAGGAUUCCCCUAGUAACUGCGAGUGAAGCGGGAAAAGCUCAAAUUUAAAAUCUGGCGGUCUUUGGCCGUCCGAGUUGUAGUCUGGAGAAGCGUUUUCCGUGCUGGACCGUGUACAAGUCUCCUGGAACGGAGCGUCGUAGAGGGUGAGAAUCCCGUCUUUGACACGGACUACCAGUGCUUUGUGAUGCGCUCUCGAAGAGUCGAGUUGUUUGGGAAUGCAGCUCAAAAUGGGUGGUGAAUUCCAUCUAAAGCUAAAUAUUGGCGAGAGACCGAUAGCGAACAAGUACCGUGAGGGAAAGAUGAAAAGCACUUUGGAAAGAGAGUGAAACAGUACGUGAAAUUGUUGAAAGGGAAACGCUUGAAGUCAGUCGCGUCGACCGAGACUCAGCCUCGCCUUGGCGUGGUGUACUUCUCGGCCGACGGGCCAGCAUCAAUUUUGAUCCUCGGAAAAAGGCUUGGGAAAGGUGGCACCUUCGGGUGUGUUAUAGUCCCUCGUCGCAUACGGGGGUCGGGAUUGAGGUACUCAGCGCGCAAGCGCUCGGGAUGCUGGCGUAAUGGCUUUAAACGACCCGUCUUGAAACACGGACCAAGGAGUCUAACAUGCCCGCGAGUGUUCGGGUGGAAAAACCCGUGCGCGUAAUGAAAGUGAAAGUUGGGAUCCCUGUCGUGGGGAGCACCGACGCCCGGACCAGACCUUCUGUGACGGAUCUGCGGUAGAGCGUGUAUGUUGGGACCCGAAAGAUGGUGAACUAUGCCUGAAUAGGGUGAAGCCAGAGGAAACUCUGGUGGAGGCUCGUAGCGAUUCUGACGUGCAAAUCGAUCGUCAAAUUUGGGUAUAGGGGGCGAAAGACUAAUCGAAACCAUCUAGUAGCUGGGUUCUGCGGAG
rnacentral:rRNA from 1 species